rnacentral:rRNA from 1 species
UACGUAGGGGGCAAGCGUUGUCCGGAUUUAUUGGGCGUAAAGAGCGUGUAGGCGGCUAGGUAGGUCCGUUGUGAAAACUCGAGGCUCAACCUCGAGACGCCGGUGGAAACCAUCUAGCUAGAGUCCGGAAGAGGAGAGUGGAAUUCCUGGUGUAGCGGUGAAAUGCGCAGAUAUCAGGAAGAACACCAAUGGCGAAGGCAGCUCUCUGGGACGGUACUGACGCUGAGACGCGAAAGCGUGGGGAGCGAACAGG